AUUGCUUCUCAGCCUUUUAGCUAAGAUCAAGUGCAGUAUCUGUUCUUACCAGAAUAUACAUAUAGUAAAAAUGUCUCCGAAUGGCUCAGAAAAAAAUAAUAUGCAUGCAUUACUUACAUGCAUUACACACA
ensembl:snRNA U2 U2 spliceosomal RNA